rnacentral:rRNA from 1 species
UACGUAGGGUGCGAGCGUUGCCCGGAUUUAUUGGGCGUAAAGGGCGCGUAGGCGGCCACGCACGUCCGUUGUGAAAUCGCCCGGCUCAACUGGGCGGGGUCAGCGGAUACGGUGUGGCUCGAGCAAGCUAGGGGGCAAUGGAAUUCCCGGUGUAGUGGUGGAAUGCGUAGAUAUCGGGGAGGAACACCAGUGGCGAAGGCGGUUGCCUGGAGCUU